rnacentral:sRNA from 1 species
GCAGCGAGCGCGUCAACCGGACGUGGCGGCAGAGGGAACAGGAUGGUUUUUCCGGUUUCCCAUCCUGACCAACGAAAUGGUAGCCGAGCCCUUAUCCCGCCCGCUUC